CCAAGCCCGUUUAUGUUAGGACAUGUGGGUCCAACUUAAUUGCUCCUCAAAACAGCUGACCGUGCCCUGCCUCCCGACCGUGCCGGACCCGCCACUCUGCCCCCUCCCCCCUUCUUCUCCGGUGGCGGCGGAUCUUGCGUUCUCAACGGCGGCGGCGGAGCCCUCGUUCUCAACGGCGGCGGAGCCUUCGUCCUCAAAAAAUGGUUGUGAGGGGAGCCCGUGGGCAUACUGAGAUGGAGCCCCCAGAUUCAACUUCGAAUAGAGGGGAUGCUGCCGCUCGGACCUUCGAAUUGACGGUCAAUUUCUUUCCAUCAAAGGCAAAAUUAGUUGAUGGUAGCA